rnacentral:rRNA from 2 species
GGGGAAUAUUGGGCAAUGGACGCAAGUCUGACCCAGCAACGCCGCGUGAAGGAAGAAGGCUUUCGGGUUGUAAACUUCUUUUGUCAGGGACGAAAAAAAUGACGGUACCUGACGAAUAAGCCACGGCUAACUACGUGCCAGCAGCCGCGGUAAUACGUAGGGGGCUAGCGUUAUCCGGAUUUACUGGGCGUAAAGGGUGCGUAGGUGGUUUCUUAAGUCAGGAGUGAAAGGCUACGGCUCAACCGUAGUAAGCUCUUGAAACUCGGAAACUUGAGUGCAGGAGAGGAAAGUGGAAUUCCUAGUGUAGCGCUGAAAUGCGUAGAUAUUAGGAGGAACACCAGUAGCGAAGGCGGCUUUCUGGACUGUAACUGACACUGAGGUACGAAAGCGUGAGGAGCAAACA